AUUCCCACAAUUCAAUCAAUUUUCAUGGGUUUAACUAUAACAUUUUCAUCAUUCCCACAAUUCAAUCAAAUUUAAUUGGUUUCACACCAACCUUUUCAUCAUUCCCACAAUUCAAUCAAAUAUCAUGGGUUUAAUAGCAGCGUUUUCAUCAUUCACUCAAUUCAAUCAAAUCUUAAUGGUUUUAAGAGCAACAAUUUCAUCAUUCCCACAAUUCAAUCAAUUUUCACGGGUUUAACAGUAACAUUUUCAUCAUUCCCACAAUUCAAUCAAAUUUCAUUAGUUCAACAACAACAUUUUCAUCAUUCCCACAAUUCAAUCAAAUUCCAUGGGUUUAAUAACAGCGUUUUCAUCAUUCCCACAAUUCAAUCAAAUUGCAUGGGUUUAACAGCAACAUUUUCUUCCUUUACACAAUUAAAUAAAUUUUAUGGGUUUAACAACUAUAUUUUCA
rnacentral:lncRNA from 1 species